GGGAGCAUUGUGGAGAGAGAUAUUACCUCUCAAAAAUUCGGCCCUUUGGUGAAAAUUGGGGUUUUGAGAGUUUCUACCUCCAUUGAAGCUUGAGGAGCCAUCAAUCCUUGGUUGUGUGACCAUUGGUGGAUUGAGACAUUUGGACCAACCGUGAGUGAUCAACCAUUGGAGCAAGCUAUGGAGCUUGAAUAGCUCAUUGGAAUUGGUGUAUGUUUGUAAAAGUUGGUUGCUGAAACUGUUGGUGAAGAACAAAGGUCGACUGAAGCAUUGAGGUAAGGAUGCUGCAGGAGCCUCUGGUGGCAAGUGGCCAUAUCUGGAUUAUGCAUGAAAUAUGGC